ensembl:lncRNA
CGUCGGGGGCAGCAGGGCCUGGCUGCCCACGAGCAGCAGCGGCCGCUGGGCCCGGCUCAGGAGCUCCGAGCACAGCUGGACCUGCAGGGCCGGGAUUAACCCGGGAAAACCGGGAUUAACCCAGGAAAACCGGGAUUAACCCAGGAAAACCGGGAUUAACCCCAGAAAAACCGGGAUUAACCCCAGAAAAACCGGGAUUAACCCAGGAAAACUGGGAUUAACCCAGAAAAACCGGGAUUAACCCGGGAAAACCGGGAUUAACCCCAGGAAAACCGGUAUUAACCCCAAACCUGGGACUAACCCGGGACUAACCCCAAACCCGGGACUGGGACUGACCCCAAAGCCAGGACUAACCCCAAACCCGGGAUUAACCCCAAACUAGGACUAACCCCAGACCCGGGAUUGACCCAGACAGGCUGGGACUGACCCCAAAGCCAGGACUAACCUGGGACUAACCCCAAGCCUGGGACUGACCCCAAACCCGGGAUUGACCCCAGACAAGCUGGGACUGACCCCAGACCUGGGACUAACCCCAAACCCGGGACUAACCCCAAAGCUGGGAUUAACCCAGCAGGGCCAGGACUGACCCCAAAUCCGGGACUGACCCCAGACCCGGAAUUAACCCCAGCAGGGCCGGGACUGACCCCAAAGCCAGGACUAACCCCAAACAGGCUGGGACUAACCCGGGACUAACCCCAGACAGGCUGGGACUGACCCCAAACCCGGGAUCAACCCCAGCAGGGCCAGGACUAACCCCAAAGCCAGGACUAACCCCAGCAGGGCCAGGACUAACCCCAAAGCCAGGACUAACCCCAGCAGGGUCAGGACUAACCCCAAAGCCACCGGCAUUAACCCCAAAGCCAGGUUUAGAUCGGCUCAAAACCGGGAUUAACCGCAGCAAGGUCAGGACUAACCCCAAAAGGGUCAGGACUAACCCCAAAAGAGCUGGGAUUAACCCCAAACCCAGGCUCAAACGGCCCUAAAACCGGGAUUAACCCCAAAAAAGCCAGGUUUAAGCCCAAAAGAGCCAGGACUAACCUCCAGGCUGGGGUUUUUGGGGUCUCAGCUGCUCGGAGGUUUUCCCCAUUUUGGGUUUUUUUCCCCCAUUUUGUUUUUUCCCCAUUUUUGAGGUUUUUUCCCCAUUUUGGGUUUUUUUCCCCCAUUUUGGGUUUUUUUCCCCCAUUUUGGUUUUUUUUCCCCAUUUUGGGUUUUUUUUCCCAUUUGGGUUUUCCCCCAAAUUUUUGGGUUUUUUUUUCCCAAAUUUUGGGGGUUUUUCCCCAUUUUGAGGGUUAUUUUCCCCAUUUUGGGUUUUCCCCCAUUUUUGGGGUUUUUUUCCCCCAAAUUUCAAGAUUUUUCCCCAUUUUGGCUGUUUUGGGGUUGUUUUUGGGGUUAUUUUGGGGUGUUUUUGGGGUGUUUUGGCUCUCACCUCGGCGGGGCUGGCCCUGGGCAGGCUCAGCCCCAGCGGGUUCAGCUCCCGCGGCUCCCAGGCGCCGGCGAACAGAUCGCACACGUAGUGCUCCAGGUACCUCAAAAUGGGAAUUUUGGGCUUUUGGGCUUUGUGGGUUUUGGAAUUUGGGCUUUUGGGGAUUUUGGGGCUUUUGGGGAAUUUUGGGGCUUUGGGGGUAUUUUGGGGUUUUCUAGGG